CCUGGGAUCUCACACAGCCUCCCAGACUGGCUCAGCCUGCAGCUGAGCCACCUCUGGGAGCAGCGGGGACACAUCACCUCAUCUCAUCAAAGCAAGCAGUGCUGGGUCUCAGAGAGGCUUCGAUGGAAAACCCCACUCCCUCAUGGAGGCUCUGAAGAAGGCCUGCCCAGAGCCAUGGAUGCCAUGCUGAAGAGCUUGCUGACAGCAACCAGCAGCACAGACAAUCUCCAGCACAUCUUGGAGGCUCUGUCCCAGCCUCUCACAGAGAUGUAUCCUGCAGCCAGCCCAGCUCAGGGAGCAGUGGGGACAGGUGAUCUCAUCCUGUCAAACCAAGCAACAUGGGUCUUAUUGAGGCUCAGAUGGAAGACCCAUUCAUCUCCUGGAGAGGAUGUGUCCAGGAUCCUGGAGAAUGUUUUCUGCAGGAGGUUUGAAUGGGGAGAGAUCACUCACAGUCAUGACCCAGAGGACCUAAGAAGUUCAGCCCCAGUUUGAGGCUCCACUCCUGAGGUUCUAGUGGAGGAGUCCCAGAGAAGCUCAUUGGCUCUGCUUAAGGCAGCAGCAGGAAAAGGAAGCUGACUGAACACCAGGGCUGCUCCCUGUUCUGGACCGUGUGCUGCCUCUUUCUGCUGCCGCUCCCCUGUCUUGAUUUCCUGGCAUCUGAUUUGUGGCUGUGAUUGCAAGUUUGUCUUGUGCUUCUGAUCUUCCAGUAUCGUGGCCCAGCUGGCUCUCAACUCCUGUCAUGGCUCACCAUCCAUCUUGGAGCUGAACACCAGAUGGGAGCUGAUUGAUUGUCCUUGGUGGGCCAUGUUCUUAUGUGUGAUGGAGCUGUGUGGCAGAGAGGGCCAGGAGAAGAUGCACCACACAUGGCCAGGACCGGGCUAAACAAUCUGUUAUGGCAGAGAGUCAGCCAGUGAGGCCCGUUUGCAGAAUGUGGAAGAGCUGUUUGGCGAUGGGUUGGAGGAUUCACCAUGUAGGUGGCAGCAGCUGCAGUGCCUGGGGUCCCCAAGGGCCAAGGCUCCACUCCUGAUGCACCAAUCUCCCACUGCUCUCAGGGGGCUUUGGCUUUAGCUGCUGGGCCUGCGUGCCUAGAGAGAGGACUCAGGUAUUUCCAUCAGGCUGCUCAAUGGCAAAUGCAGCCAUCCACAGAAGUGAAGAAGAAUGGAAGUGAAAGAGUAAAGCUGGCCCAUCCGCUGAGCUGCUGCAAUCAAGUGAGCAGAGCUGGGGCGAGAAGAGGGAGAAUGUGAAGGUGGCUGGUGGCAGUAAGGGGGAAAAGCAGUUUGGGAGCCAGGAGCGUAGAAAUAAACAGUUAAUGAUGAAUACUG